GUACCUAUAAGAUAUUUUUUGAAAUAAAAUUCCAUAGACAGUUUUAGUGUAAAACAUUCAACAUGGAAAGAAUUCAAAGCAGAGUGAGUAGAACUCAGAAAUUGUCAUGUAGUGUUCUUAUUCCUACUUCUUAAAAAGAAUUGUUCUUAAUUUUUAAGGUUCAAGGAAGGGUCCAAGCAACCACUACAACCUCAAGCUUCUAUUUCUGUUUCCUUAGCUCUAACAGUUCAGGGAGGUAAAAGACAAAGUAAGAAGAAAGAAGAGAGGCUAAAAGUUCAGAAGGAGGUUCUGGGAAGUUCUCUCUUCUGUUCCCAAACUGAAUGAGAGAGCAAUUUUAAAGAAGAGGGCACUGAAAAUAAACCAAUGGUCUUAUCCUUGAUAAUAAAGACA
rnacentral:lncRNA from 12 species